ACACAACCCUAACCCCCAAAUCUAACCUGCUUGCUCACAUCCUCUCUACCAAUCUUGAUCGGCUCCCAGAUCUUUGAACGGCCACUACAUCGUCGUGAACGGCUGACCACCACACUUCUUCCUAUUGUGAAGGCCCUUUGAUCCUAAUUCAGCAAUCUGUUUUUCAGGUAUUCCAAGUUGAUGAAGGGAUGCUAUUAGAUAUAUCAUCUUUAACUGCUUGUGGUAAACGCAUUCACUAUUUGCCCGUUCUCUCUAAAAGAGAACUUGGUUUUCUGUAGCAUGGGUUGAUGGAUAUGUCUUACUUAUAAGUGUCCUUUACCAUAUUUUAUUAUUGUACAAGGAGGAAUUGAGAACAAUUAUGUGUAUGGGGAUGGGGAUGGAAGGUUCUUCGAAACAUUUCAAUUAAACGAUGAUAGCUGGAGAGACUGAAUCUUGUGGAAAGUUGUGUCAUUUAAUCAAUAUUUUCUGCUGGGUUUUGGUGGGGUGAUCUACAUGUACUGUUUCAAGAAAAAUCUUAUUCUGGUAAGCUAUGUAUUAAGGUCACUUCUCAAUCUUUUUUUGAACUCCCGAACACUUUCGGGGCACCCACUAGACCAAAUGGAGUACUCUGAGAGUAACCCGAGUCCAUCACCAAUUCCGUGGAAAACCUGGUAACCUACCUGCCCGUAGGCACGAUAGUGAAAUUACUGAUAAAACCCGUUUGACUCAAGGAUCAAACCCAGAUUUCCUUGGGUCUUCUAUCAUUGCUCACUAGUGCCUCACUAUGCACCAAGUGGUAGUUGAACCUACAUUUCCCAAAAGAAAUGCAAGCAUUCCACCACAUAAUUCGCAUCACUUCUCAAUCAAAGGUGUCUUAUAUCUCCGAGGAGCUUUGCAUAGGAUGUGAUGUAUAUGUUAAGAAAUACUCGUUUGAUGCAAUUGAGAUCAUCAAUUUACCAAAAGAUUUGGAUAAAGGACAAUGGCCGUGUAUGCUACACGAAGUGGUGCCAGUAUAAGGGUUAAACUCAACUGGGCCAACUCUAGGUUUCCAUGUUGGCCGGGAAGUACUGAAUGCGUCUACUAUGUUCAUGAAGGAGAUGGCUUACGAAUAAGUUGAAAUAUUUGAUGACAAUGUUGGGGGGAAGGAGUAGAGGAAUACUCGUUUACGGAUACGGAUAGCAUUCGCGAUGAUUGGUCGACUUAUGCAGCUACCUCUAUUUUUAAGUGACAAGCCGUAUUUUAGGUGUCGAUGAAUGUAUUUACAAACAAUUUUUUGGUUAACGUUAAAAUAUUUGUAGUAUUUUUGACAAAUGAUUAUGUAAUAAAUUGUUUUGGUAUAUAUAUGUGUAUUUUUUUUUGAAAUA